GAUAUAUUUAUCUUACACGCCGAUCAUACGAGGCAUAGCGUGUUCCGGUGGCGAGACAACCUACGCUAUUAAAAGAUCACGGAGAUUCGGGGAAGUUUAAGUGUGCACUGUGAUAAUGGGUGUGGUGGAUUCAGUGAGGGGCUUUUUGUAUUUCUGGUAUCUCCAGUAUACACUCAACACCAGUAUUUACAUGCUGGAGCCUCUGGAACAAGCUCUGUUCAACAUAUUUUUAGUAUGUCUCCUAUCCAUUAGUGCCUAUACAUUCUAUGUAUUUGUGCCAAUUCAUGUUGUCCAGUUUUAUGAACUUGUACUCGGUCUCCGAUCCUCGUCUUGAGCGACAUGGUCUGCUUUUCAACACUUGAAGUCAGUUUUCUUGCCACCGGUUGAUAUUAUAUACAGUGGUUGUUACACAGGCACAACGACGGACGAGGAAACUAGAGUCUUAACAUCUUGUAGCGUUCAGGAUAUGCGACAACAUCUGACAUUUUUAGCAGAUUACAUGUACUGUAUAUUUAAUGUUCGUUUGUAAUUGUAUAUGGCUAAUUAUGGAAGUGUUUUGGGUAUAUAUCCGUGGAAGGAAACUGAACGUUCGGGGCUGCUUGUAUUUACAAACAAUAUACGUUUCUCAUGAAAUGUGUUCAACUUGUAGAGUAUUAUAAAAAUGUUGGAUUCUGUUUGAUAAAUUAUUUAAUAAAAUGUUAUAUGUGGCAGAA